rnacentral:rRNA from 1 species
CAAAGCACUUUGAAGAGAGAGUUAAAGAGGACGUGAAACCGAUAAGGUGGAAACGGAUAGAGCCAACGUAUCUAACUUGUAUUCAGCCAUCGCUCGGGUCCGGACUGCUUAGGCAAUCCCGCUUCUGGUUGCCUUGGAGGUCGUUAGCGGCUCGAGUGGCGGUGCAUUUGCAAGUGGAGUGCGCUGAGGUGUGUGGGGCAGCGAUUCGAUCUCGGUCUAGAGGACACCGCUUGCGGUGAACCCUGGGCAGGGGGAAAAUUGUUUGCCUUGCAUUGCCGCCUAAGGGGAGGCCCUUGGUGGGUCGGUGUCGGAUCACGUUGACUGCUUGUAACGGCCGCAUGCGACGCGUGCUCGUUGUUUGCGUGGUUGGGCCCCGGCUCCCUCUCCGGUGAUCUCGGUGUAAAAGUUGGUCAUCUCUCCGACCCGUCUUGAAACACGGACCAAGGAGUUUAGCGUAUGCGCGAGUCAUUGAGUGGAAAACUCAAAGGCGCAAUGAAAGUGAAAUGAUAUGCGAUCCCGUGGGCCUCGGCUCGCGGGAGCAGCAUAGCCCCGUCUCGAUCGCUUGCGAUGGGGCGGAGGUAGAGCGUAUUCGCUGAGACCCGAAAGAUGGUGAACUAUUCCUGAGCAGGAUGAAGCCAGAGGAAACUCUGGUGGAAGUCCGAAG